rnacentral:rRNA from 1 species
GACCGGCGCACGGGUGAGUAACGCGUAUCCAACCUGCCCAUCACUUGGGGAUAACCUUGCGAAAGUAAGACUAAUACCCAAUGACGUCUCUAGAAGACAUCUGAAAGAGAUUAAAGAUUUAUCGGUGAUGGAUGGGGAUGCGUCUGAUUAGCUUGUUGGCGGGGUAACGGCCCACCAAGGCGACGAUCAGUAGGGGUUCUGAGAGGAAGGUCCCCCACAUUGGAACUGAGACACGGUCCAAACUCCUACGGGAGGCAGCAGUGAGGAAUAUUGGUCAAUGGGCGAGAGCCUGAACCAGCCAAGUAGCGUGCAGGAUGACGGCCCUAUGGGUUGUAAACUGCUUUUAUAAGGGAAUAAAGUGAGUCUCGUGAGGCUUUUUGCAUGUACCUUAUGAAUAAGGACCGGCUAAUUCCGUGCCAGCAGCCGCGGUAAUACGGAAGGUCCGGGCGUUAUCCGGAUUUAUUGGGUUUAAAGGGAGCGUAGGCCGGAGAUUAAGCGUGUUGUGAAAUGUAGACGCUCAACGUCUGCACUGCAGCGCGAACUGGUUUCCUUGAGUACGCACAAAGUGGGCGGAAUUCGUGGUGUAGCGGUGAAAUGCUUAGAUAUCACGAAGAACUCCGAUUGCGAAGGCAGCUCAC